rnacentral:lncRNA from 1 species
UUAUAUUAAACUCAGUUAUAUUAAACCUCGACUUAUUCUUCACUUUAUAUCAUGACACCUUUAUGCUUGUUUUAAAUUUCUUUUAUUAUUCUUCAUUAUACUGUUACAUUAGACGGGAUAGGAUUAGAAAUGACGACGUUACAGAGAGAAUUGGGGUAGCACUUAGUAGAAAAGAUGGUGGAAACUAGACUUAGGUGGUUUGGGCAUGUAGAGAGAAGACAUGUAGAUUCUGUAGUAAGGAGAGUAGAUCACAUGGAGAGUAGUCAAAUCACUAGGGGGAGAGAAAGACCUAGAAAAACUAUUAGACAAACUAUUUAGAAAGAUCUAGAUAUUAAUGAGUUGGACCUAGAGUAGAUCACAUGGAGAGUAGUCAAAUCACUAGGGGGAGAGAAAGACCUAGAAAAACUAUUAGACAAACUAUUUAGAAAGAUCUAGAUAUUAAUGAGUUGGAUAGAAAUAUGGUAUUAAGAGCAUUAUGGCGUCGUUUGAUCCAUGUUUAGUGGGAUAAGGCUUGGUUCUUGUUGUAUUGUACCAUUACACAAUACAUACGAGAAUUUGUUAUUCUAGUAUUGAUGCUUCAUUUAACUUUUUGAUUCUUAAGAAGGUAAAAAUUAUAUAUUUGUUAAUUGGAACAUAGAACUUGCAUGAAUAUUCAUUUAUAUAUGGGAUUAAUGAGCCAUGUCUUUAAAUAACAAGAUAAAUUUCAUGUUGAUAUUUUACUUGUCAUGUUAGAAGAUUUCCGUAUUCAUGACUUGAAUUACAAUCUUGUAAACGUUCUUCUUUUUCAGUUAUAUAAUUUGACAUUUGAAUUUAUCUGAACCCUGGAGAGUUUAUUGUGGUUUUGUGGAAACUGAAAGUUACCUCCAGGGCCGAACCAACGCAUAUAAGGCCUUUUUAUCAAGUAAAUUUUUAAAAAAAAAAUUAAGGUUGUGAUUCCGUUGCUUGCCUUACCCUUGGGCC